rnacentral:rRNA from 1 species
UACAGGGGGGGCAAGCGUUGUUCGGAAUUACUGGGCGUAAAGGGCCAGUAGGCGGCCAACUAAGUCACACGUGAAAUCCCCAGGCUUAACCUGGGAACUGCGUGUGAUACUGGAUGGCCUGAAUUCGGGAGAGGGAUGCAGAAUUCCAGGUGUAGCGGUGAAAUGCGUAGAUAUCUGGAGGAAUACCGGUGGCGAAGGCGGCAUCCUGGACCGACAUUGACGCUGAGGAGCGAAAGCGUGGGGAGCGAACAGG